rnacentral:rRNA from 1 species
UACCGCGGUUAUACGAGAGGCUCGAGUUGAUAGACACCGGCGUAAAGAGUGGGCAAGGACACAAACAACUAAAGCCGAACCCCCUCCCCCCGCUGUUAUACGCAACCGGAGGAAUGAAGCCCCACCACGAAAGUGGCUUUACCCCACCUGAACCCACGACAGCUAAGGAA